AGCAGUAAUUUCUGUCGUUCACUCAUGAGUUACGCAACUCUAGGUGAGCCUUGUGUUUGCCACUCAACUUCUUUGCCACGGCCACAGUUGGCCCCUGGGCCAAACCAACAAGCUAAACAAACUGAGGGUCAAACAAAAAACGGGCAACUAUAAAAUCUUAAUGGCAGUUGGGCUUUCCACAUGCAAAUAAUUUGCGGCCAACUGAACGAGUGUAAACAAACCGCCCAACUGUGAGCAACUGUUGGUGUUGCAGAUAGAAAGAAAGUUUCACAAAAACUUUUCUCAAAUCUGACACACACUCACAUUUAGAGCAACCGGUGUGUGGGCUACCAAUUGGGUCGGGUCAUUAAGAAAAACUCAUGGCAUAUACAUCAAAGUCCCAAACAGAGCCGUAGGCGGCGUCGCUGAUGACAGAUAAAGCGAGCAGCUGUCGGUUUGUUUGAUUGCAAAAGUUGUAGAGAAACUUCAAUUACCUUUCACCUGCCAGCGCAAACAACAAGAACUAUCAAUAUCAAGGCAAGGCAUUUUCGUCAUACACAAUGCAACUGGCAAAUUUACACGGAAACAUGUGGAACAGAGCAAUGGAAAAUAUCAACAAUUCAAGGCUGUUUAAAUAGUUGCUCGAAUAACGAAUCGGUACUCAAGUUAAAACUAAGCUAUAUAUGGAACUUAUUUAUAAAAAAUAUAUGAAUGGUUGGUAUUUUCACCCGCGACGGUGGAAAAUUAGUGGAAA